UUUAAGUUCAAUGGGUGAGAAGCCGUCACUAAGCAUUUUCUGGUCCGGCAGGCGGUUAAAGGUUUCAGGAGAGGGAAGAAGACGGUUGAUACGAGGAGGCCAUUGUUUUUCGGGAUAUUACAAAGGUUGGUGGAGGCGCUGCCCGAAAUUUGCCUCUCUCCAUUCGAGGUGGCAUUGUUCGCAGGGGCGUUUGUUUGGGCCUUUUUUGGGACUUUUUGGAUAGGGGAGUUGGUAAGCGCGAAUAAAGCGGGUGUAGGAGGGCUGCAGCUCGAGGACGUUGCAAUAAGCACUGACAGAGUGCGUAUUAAGCUGGGCCGAUCCAAAACUGACAUUUUUGGCAAAGGUUGCUCAGUGGUGUUGUUCAAGUUGCCGGGAUCCGAGGUAUGCCCUGUGGAGCAGGGUGCGGGGUAGCUGGUGCUACGCCGGGUGGUUAAGGGCUGUUUUUUCGUGCACGCUGAAGGUGCGGCGCAGUCACGUUUUCAGUUCACAAGGGUCUUGCAGCUGAGAUUACAGAAGCUGGGCUUGGAGUCUAGGCAGUUCCGGACACAUUCGUUCCGUAU